CGGAGAACAAGCCGAUCUCACAGGGCU
rnacentral:piRNA from 1 species